rnacentral:rRNA from 1 species
CCAAUGUGAACGUUACCAAACUGUUGCCUCGGCGGGAUCUCUGCCCCGGGUGCGUCGCAGCCCCGGACCAAGGCGCCCGCCGGAGGACCAACCAAAACUCUUAUUGUAUACCCCCUCGCGGGUUUUUUUAUAAUCUGAGCCUUCUCGGCGCCCCUCGUGGGCGUUUCGAAAAUGAAUCAAAACUUUCAACAACGGAUCUCUUGGUUCUGGCAUCGAUGAAGAACGCAGCGAAAUGCGAUAAGUAAUGUGAAUUGCAGAAUUCAGUGAAUCAUCGAAUCUUUGAACGCACAUUGCGCCCGCCAGUAUUCUGGCGGGCAUGCCUGUCCGAGCGUCAUUUCAACCCUCGAACCCCUCCGGGGGGUCGGCGUUGGGGAUCGGCCCUCCCUCUGCGGGGGCCGUCUCCGAAAUCCAGUGGCGGUCUCGCCGCAGCCUCUCCUGCGCAGUAGUUUGCACACUCGCACCGGGAGCGCGGCGCGUCCACAGCCGUUAAACACCCAACUUUCUGAAAUGUUGACCUCGGAUCAGGUAGGAAUACCCGCUGAACUUAAGCAUAUCAAUAAGCGGA